AGCGAACGCUGGCGGCAGGCUUAACACAUGCAAGUCGAACGGGCGUAGCAAUACGUCAGUGGCAGACGGGUGAGUAACGCGUGGGAACAUACCUCUUGGUUCGGAACAACACAGGGAAACUUGUGCUAAUACCGGAUAAGCCCUUACGGGAAAGGAUUUAUCGCCGAGAGAUUGGCCCGCGUCUGAUUAGCUAGUUGGUGAGGUAACGGCCCACCAAGG
rnacentral:rRNA from 1 species